UCCGUAGGUGGAUAAUUAAGUCAGAGGUGAAAUCCUGCAGCUCAACUGUAGAAUUGCCUUUGAUACUGGUUAUCUUGAGUCAUUAUGAAGUGGUUAGAAUGUGUAGUGUAGCGGUGAAAUGCAUAGAUAUUACACAGAAUACCGAUUGCGAAGGCAGAUCACUAAUAAUGUACUGACACUGAGGGACGAAAGCGUGGGGAGCGAACUGGAUUAGAUACCCUGGUAGUCC
rnacentral:rRNA from 1 species